rnacentral:rRNA from 1 species
GACGAACGCUGGCGGCGUGCUUAACACAUGCAAGUCGAACGGUGAAGGGGUCUGCUUUUGUGGGCCCUGGAUGAGUGGCGAACGGGUGAGUAACACGUGAGUAACCUGCCCCCUUCUUCUGGAUAACCGCAUGAAAGUGUGGCUAAUACGGGAUAUUCUGGGUCUGUCGCAUGAUGGGUCUGGGAAAGAUUGCGCCUUUGGGUGUUUUUGGUGGGGGAUGGGCUCGCGGCCUAUCAGCUUGUUGGUGGGGUGAUGGCCUACCAAGGCGGUGACGGGUAGCCGGGCUGGGAGGGUGGACGGUCACACUGGGACUGAGACACGGCCCAGACUCCUACGGGAGGCAGCAGUGGGGAAUAUUGCACAAUGGGCGCAAGCCUGAUGCAGCGACGCCGCGUGAGGGAGGGAGGCCUUCGGGUUGUAAACCUCUUUCGCCAGUGAAGCAGGCCUGCUCCUUGUGGGUGGGUUGACGGUAGCUGGAGAAGAAGCGCCGGCUAACUACGUG